rnacentral:rRNA from 1 species
UACGUGGGGGGCGAGCGUUACCCGGAUUUACUGGGCGUAAAGAGCGUGUAGGCGGCUGGCCAAGCGUGAUGUGAAAUCUUCGGGCUUAACCCGAAAACUGCAUUGCGAACUGGUCUGGCUAGAGUGUGUGAGAGGGUAGUGGAAUUCCCGGUGUAGUGGUGAAAUGCGUAGAUAUCGGGAGGAACACCAGUGGCGAAGGCGACUACCUGGCCUGUUCUUGACGCUGAGGCGCGAAAGCUAGGGGAGCAAACGGG